rnacentral:misc_RNA from 1 species
CACGAAUACCCCAAGCGUUAUCCGGAAUCAUUGGGUUUAAAGGGUCCGUAGGCGGGACAAUAAGUCAGUGGUGAAAGUCUGUGGCUCAACCAUAGAAUUGCCAUUGAUACUGUUGUCCUUGAGUUACUGUGAAGUGGUUGGAAUAUGUAGUGUAGCGGUGAAAUGCAUAGAUAUUACAUAGAACACCGAUUGCGAAGGCAGAUCACUAACAGUACACUGACGCUGAUGGACGAAAGCGUAGGUAGCGAACAGG